rnacentral:lncRNA from 1 species
UUUGAAAGUGUGUAGCUCUUCUGCCUUUGUGUGCUUUCUCUCUCUCCUGCUUCCAAGUCAAGAUGUGCUGGCUUCUCCUUUGCCCUUCUGUCAUUAUUGUAAGUUUCAUGAGGCCUCGGAGCCACGCUUCCUGUAUAGCCUGCAGAACUGUGAUCAUUCCACUCUUCUGCUAAUGUCAUGUUCUGGUUCAGGGAGUCCUCCAGGGAUGGCCAUACCUUUCUCUCCAAGAGCUUUGGCGAACUCUACUCCAAUCUGAACAGGUGAGAAGAUAUAUCAGAAGAAGCUGGGGGCCCAGGAAGUGGGUCUUCUAGGGAUACGGAGACAUUCCGCUGGACGACAUUUUAAAAUGUUUCUUCCAGAGUCAUCUGCCUUGUUAACAAUCAUUUUUGUCUUAGAAGCCUGUCUUUGAUU